rnacentral:rRNA from 1 species
GACGAACGCUGGCGGCGUGCUUAACACAUGCAAGUCGAACGGAAAGGCCCUGCUUUUGUGGGGUGCUCGAGUGGCGAACGGGUGAGUAACACGUGAGUAACCUGCCCUUGACUUUGGGAUAACUUCAGGAAACUGGGGCUAAUACCGGAUAGGAGCUCCUGCUGCAUGGUGGGGGUUGGAAAGUUUCGGCGGUUGGGGAUGGACUCGCGGCUUAUCAGCUUGUUGGGGGGGUAGUGGCUUACCAAGGCUUUGGCGGGUAGCCGGCCUGGGAGGGUGACCGGCACAUGUGGGGAGUGGGAGCCCGCACGCCCCCUGGGGGGGGCAGGGGGGGGUAAUUUUUGAAGAGGGGGGGGAGGCUGGAGCGACCCCCCCGGGGGGGGGAAGGCGGCCGUGGGGGUUGAAACCUGCUUUCGCGUGUAAGGAAGGGGGGGACGGGUUAGUGGGAAAAAAAACCCGGGAACUACGUG